CCGCCCCUUCCUCCCCCCCUACCCUUUCCGCCACCAUGUUUUCGUGUAUAUAUUACGUAUAAUUAUAUUAUUAAUAUAUUUCGUCCGCGGUCCACCGCUUUUGAAUAUCGUCAUUCAAUAUCACGCACGCGACGGAACGGAAACUUUCGCCAAAAAAAAAAAAACAUUUAAAAAAACCAAUUCGUAAGUAUAUAUUUUAUUUUAAGAUUUAUCCGGUAAACGCCGUUAUUAUUAUUAUUAUUUUUUUUUUUUUUGAAUUUUCAAACGUCCGUUGAACGUGCCGAAAGGGAUGUGCGAUUCGAUAUCUCGAUACUCUCGCGUUGUACCUACUUAAGACCGUAUAAUCGUACCCGAUAUCGAAAUACCGGUUGUGUAUCGAAUGAAAACGCGAUAAUCACUCCGCGUCGGUCAAACAAAUUAGAUAUAGACGAAAUAAUUCAGUAGGUAUUUUACGUAUUAUUUUUUUUCUGUGUGUUUUUACAUAUCAAUUCUGAAUAGUUUUUUUUUUUUUUAUAAUAACAAAAUAAUAUAAACGUUUAUAUAUUAUAAAUAUUCGUAAUUUGUUUCUAUUUUCAAAUGAAGGUAACGAGAAUAAAGUAUCGCACUUACUAAACGAGUAUCGAGUAUUGGAUUCUAAAUUUUUAGUACCGCCCGUUUCUAGACUAUACCAUUAAAUGUUUGUUUUGUAUUCCGAUAUUCCGUGUAUUUUUCCAAUACGAUUUGUACGGGUAAUCGAUCGAUUUUCAACGAGACGUUAUAGUUGGUAUAUAAUAUAAUAAUUCAUUUAAAUUAGAUUUUACAUUUAAAAACAAAUAUGUUAUCAAAUAGUAUAGUAAUUAGGUACCUAAUGAUUUUCAGAAUGCACACGUUUUCGAUUAACAUAAGUACAAAUAGUUAUCGCUUAGUAUUAUUAUAGUAAACUUUGGAAAAAUAUAGAAAAUAUAUUUUAUAAUUAAUAUACACCGAAGAAAAAAAUACUUGAAGAUGAAAUAAACUUAUAAAUAAUAUAAUAACUGUAUCCUAAUAUGACAGUUUUACGCGUUUUAAUAUUAAGAGGUAUUCGGGUAUUUAAAGGUAUUAUGGGGACUGACGAUGGUUUUCAAAAUUGUCUCCAUAUUCGUACAAUUUGAAAUGCUUGUUUAAAUUUGAACGACUACCUUGGUUAGGCCACAUAACGAGAAGGGAUAUAGAUAGGACAGUUUAGAUAGUUAUGGAGUGGAAACUCAGGGAUGAAGAACUAGAGGACAACUCUGGAGAGAAGUAGUUCAAGAUAAAAACAGGUGGCGAAGUAUAGUAGUGGCAGCCGUAACUCUUAGACAGUAAAAUUAUGUCAUUAGAAGAAGAAGAAAAAGAAUGUCUACCUUAAUGAUAAGGCAAAUCCAUUAAUAUACUGUCCGACACUCGUUUAAAGGGAAAAAUUACAGCUUUUAAUACGGACGAACACGGUGUUUUAUACCGAAAAGCCAGACAAAACUGUAGGAAUCGCGUUUAACGGAUUUAGAUUUUUAAAACGUAUUUUGAUUCGAAAGAUUCGUUUACUAGGAUUCGUUGAAAAUAUUUGUUUAAUUUUUAAUUCUAUCACAAUAUUAAAAGUCGAAAUACUUCAAGUAUACAGUUUUGAACAUUUUUCCAAAAUACGAUCAACAUUUUUACAAUUUCCAGUAAAAAUAAUUGAAUUUCUAUUUUGAUCAAAUCCUAGUAAAAAAAAAAAAUUAAGAUUCUUUACAUGAUUCGUUUUCAAUGUUGAAAUUCGUUGAACACAAUUCCUACAGUUUCAUCUGGCUUUUAGUUUUAAAUCGACGAAUAUAUACGCCGUCACCAAUUCCCUUAAGAAAACCGUAAUUAAUGAAUUAACAAAUAGAUGAUGUCAGUUAACCUUUAUGCGUUACGAAACUUCUAGUAUAAGAUAAAGGAAAAUAGAACUGUAAAAAAAUAGUAUUUAUAAACGACAAGGCAGAACAAGUUAAUGAAUAUAAUAAUAAUAUAUAAUAUAAUAUAAUAUUAAAUUGGUUUGAAAAUGAAUAGUAAUAUGUUAAAAGUUUAAACAAUUACAUCUGUGAGUUAUAAGUUGAAAAUUUAAUUAACUAUACUGACUGUUAACUUUUGAACUCAUUAACGUCUAGUCUCAGAUUAUAAGAGCUAAGAAAUUAUGAGACUUGGUUUCAUACAAGGCUGUACCUAAAUAAAAAGAAACUUCGGAGAGGUCCAACAAUUUUGUGUAUAUUUUUCAAAUAAUUCCAUGAAUUUUUAUCUUUUUAUCUAUUAAAUUAUAUAUUAGAAUUUCGGUGCCUAAUAUUUUUCUCCUUUCGAAAUAAUGUCGAUGGAAAUCCUUUGAUAUGGCCUCGGAUUUGCUAUUAUGCGCACAGGUCAAAAUAUUAUAUUUCUUAUAAAAACGAUUAUUUUAAUUUUUUGUAUUAGAUAAUCUUACAAUAUCCCAAGAGCUGAUUUAGAUCCACUAAGUUUGUGGUCGUUCUGUAGUUUUUAUUUAAUAUACAGAGACCGUCAAUAACCUUUGCAGCAAAACUCCUACACUCUCUUUAUACCUCGAGUGCUUUUCAAGCAAUUCUUUAUAAAUCUCGUACCACGUCAUCUUUCUUUUUUUUCUACUUGAUCAUUCUGCCAUUUCUCAGAUCUGCCUUUUGCAUGUGUUUUUGAUUUUGUUAUGUUGCUUGUUUUCCGCAUCACUUGAUUCUUUUGUUCUUUAUGAUUUUCUGUUUCUGUAUUUUUAAAUACAACAAAACCGCUUUCACGUAAAACAAAUCAAACGACUUUUAAAAUCAGUAUGAGAGUUAAAAUGCCUAUUAUAUAACUUGAAGAUGACAAUAUUAUUAGAAUUUUUAAAAAUAUUAACGAUUAAAGAAAAAUUACGUACAAAUUUCACUUGAUUGUAUAUAAAUGUAUAUAAAUAGAUCAAAAAUCGCUCAAAAAUUUUGAAAAUUUGACAAUGUCUAGAAAAAUCAAAUUUAAGUUUUAUGUCAUAAUUUCAAAUCUUUACGAAUAUUUUUAACUGAAUUACAUAAAAAAAUAAAAUUAUAAAUACUAAAAGAAUUAUUUCGUCAAUUUUCCCGUACUUUCUUGAUAUUUUUCAGUUUCGUUCAAUUAUUUUAAAAAUUAAAAAUAUAAAAUACGGCUUUCUUAAACAUUUGCUAAAUUAAAAAUCCAGUAAAAAAGAUAUUUUGUCGUUUUUUUAUUGGAGCAAUAUUUUUUGUAGAAAACAUAAGCCAUACAAAUUUAAAAUAAAGGAAUCCUAGCGCUGUAAAUUUAUUAGUUUUUAUUUCUCGUCAUUUCCCGGUUUUUCUCAGUUACUACAAAACCCACCAGUUAGAUAAAAAAAAACGAAUAAUUUACUCACCAACUAGUAUAUAAAGUCAACAAAAAAAGUCUCUUGUUAUUUUUCUAUUGGAGCGCAACAUACCCGUACAAAUUUUAAAUAAUAAAAUCGUUGUGCCGUAGUUUUUUGCCGAAUUGCUACGCUCCGAAUCAAAAAAAAUCCCAGGCCAGAAUAUAUCAUUAUUAUAAUAAUUUUAGUUUCUCGAAUAUUUCAGAAACUAAAAUUAUAACAAUAUGUUCUGACUAGGGCGGGGGGAGGGGGGAGAUUAUAAAAGAAUUAGCGAAAUAUUUCUUUUCUAAGGAUUCAAUAUAAUUCACGAUAGCAUCUUUUAUAUGAACGGUACGGAAUGCAUCAGACAAUAUUUCAUCCGAAACCCAACAAAGCUUCAGGUCCUAUAAUUUCCAGUAUUAAACUGCAGUUACUCAUAAUAUUAUCAUGUAAUAAUCACAUUCCAUUACACAAAUUUACUUCGAAAUUAUUCAUUUGUUAGAAUUCAAAAUAACAAAAAAACUACAAGUCUAUGCGAAGUUCGGUUAUUAAACUUAUACUCAAAUAAUGCAAGUGAUUUUUACGAUUUUUGUCGUAAUGUGAACUUGAAAUGCUUACAAAAAAAAUUCUACUACAUUACAUAUACAUUUUUGCUGUGUCAAAAUAAUAUUUUCUAUAAAUAAAAACUCAACAAUUUAAAAUAGCUGUACAAAUCUCAAAAAUGGGCAAAACGUUAUGAAAAUUGCUCCGCGUACAGAAAGCUUCAAUUUAAGUAUUCGAUGAAAAUUUCUGAUCAUUACGAUUAUAUUAAACAGACUUACGAAAAAAUAAAUUAAAAACAAAAUCGAAAAUAACAGAAUCCGUUAUUGCGUACAUUUUUCCGUUUUUCCACGUUUUUGAAAACAAUUUUAAAAAAAAAAAAUCAAAAAUCUUGCUCAAUACGUCGACUUAUCAAUAAUUUAUACCCCUAAACCAUUUCUAAGUUAAUGACCGGAACAAAAUUUCCAGUAGAAAAGUUGUUCACAGAUAGACAAACCAAAUAAAAACACACAUCAUAGUUGAACCGUCGUAUUCCUCGCAGGGACGGCGCUGCCCACCCGGGACAAAUUCUCGCUCAUCUAUCGCCUCCUCCCCCCCCAAGCCUUACACUAAUGAUAUUUGCACACGUAAGAAUUUGUAUUAUUCGAACUAUUAAGGGAAUUGGUCACAGCUAUUCAAUAAGCGGCCAAAUAUAGGCUAAUAUAGGUAUAACUUCUAAUCUCUUAGUCGCUGCCUGCCGCAUCAUCAGAACAAGUAGAUAAUAUUGUUGUUUAAUUUUAAUUUUUAAAAAUUGAAUACUGAUGUAUUAUGUGUUAUUAAUACAGUGUUCACUGAUACAUAAUUAAUUUAAUUGUUUUUUUUUUUUCAUUGAAAAGUAAAAUUGUUGUGCUUGCCCCUCCAGGAAAAAUAACUCUGGUGCCGUGCCUGAUUCCCCGCUUCGCUCAGAAUCUAAAACAAACAGCAAACUAUUUUUAAUUCUUUCAAAAUAUCGUUUCGCUUUGUUAUAAUUUCGCAUCGACCCGUAUAAAGUCAGUUCGUUUGUUCUUUUACGUCGUAUUGUGUACGAUGAUAUUGUUGUUUACUCAUGACCGAACAUUUUAUACGUUGCAUAGCUCGGUGAUUGUCAAAAGCGCACUUUUCGUAUUUUUUUUUUUUUCAAAUCAAAAGCGCAAAUACUAUUCAACUCAAAACGCACUUACAAAAAUCACCUCUGUAUAUUAUGCCAAAAACGCAUAAAACAUGAUAGUAUAUUUUUAUUCCCAUGAGCGAUUUUACAUACCUACUAUAGAGUAGGAUUCUGGAUUUGUAUUAAUGUAUGUAUAUUCUUUUUUUACAACGGACAAGCAAAGUUUUCAUAAGUAGGUACCUACCGAUAUCCCUGAUGUAAACGAUUUACAUAGUAUAUUUAUGAAUGAUAAAUGAUACAAUAUUUUUAUUUUGCAUAUGUAUGCUUAAGUUUAAAUAGAAACAAUGUUUCGAGUUACAGAUACGAUUACUAAUCGGGUAAUUAUAAAUCAUGUAUAGUUUUUGAAAAGUCUAGAUCACAUGAAAGUGAUAAAAUGCGCGUACAGCACGUCAAUUCGUUUCGUGUUUUGUACCUAUUUUAAAUUAGUUUCAAAUAAGUGUAUGGGUUCUAUUUCUUCUUACUAGCCUUAAUCCCAACUAUUUGGGGUCAACUGCCCUCGUCCUAAACUUCUACUUGACCCGAUCUCUCACAUCGUCCUUACAUUGUCAUUUUUAUAUCGUUUUCAAUCGCAUACAACCGCCUCUUUUUCGCUCUUCCUCUUUACCUCUUUUCUCCAUACGCUUAUUUUUAUUACCAUUCUUACUAAUUUCGAUUUCUUUUUCCUCGUGACAUGCGUAAACUAUUUUAGUUUAUUUUCUGAUGUAUUAUCGUUAUUAAAUUUAUAAAUUAAUUUUAUUAAUAUACAUCAAAACAAUAAUUCUAUUACAUUCAAAUAAUUUUAUAAAACGGUAUCUCGCGAAUGUGUACGCAUGUAAUAUGUGUCGCUCUAGACUCAUCUUAUUUUGUAGGAUAAAUUCUCGUUAAGACACUUAUUAAUUCGGAAAUUGUUAACUUUUUUAAAAAUUUUGUUUUUUUUAAACAACUUAUGAAACAAAUAAAUCUUAAAUGUUACACUACCGUUAUUUACACUACUAGGAUGUACGUUACGGAACUGUGUGGGAUGACAAAAUUACCAUAGGUAUAUAACAAAUUUAAUCAUCAAAAUGCAAAUAAUGCAGUGGUUUAGACGUGCUAUGCGCAAAGAUAAGAUAAAGAUGGAAUCAGAGUAGCUAUAAUAGAACGGAGGUCGGCGGGCAAAAUUCCAUUUGGCUAAGGAGAAUAUGAUAUAAAGACAGGCGGAAAUUAUAUUGAAAGUCAGGGCUAUUAGAUAGCUGUCAAGCCAGAGACGAAUAAGAAAGAAAGAGAGAGAGAGAUUCCAGUAUUUUACCAAAAAUAUUAUAUUAAUAUCUGAUACUAUAACCAUGUAUAAAAUAAUGAUAGUUUUAUAAAUGAACCAUAUCAGCUGCGUUCGACUUUUCAAACAAUUUUACUAUAGAAUGAAUGUAUUGUUUCGCCUUAUAUAAAAAUAAAAAACAAAACGAGAAACUUUAUUAAAAUAACGGACCGAAACAACCGGAUUUUUAAAAUAUAUUAUAUAUUCCUUAUACUCGAUUUAAUUCGUAUUUAAAAAUAUGAAUAUGAAUUCGGAUAUUUGACAAAAAGUACUUUAGAUUGAACACACAUUUUAAACAAUCGCUUUUUAUAAGUGUCAAAGUUCUAAAACUGGCAUAGUUAUUUUUAAAUUUAUAUUAUACAUAAAAAAAAAACCUAUUCCGAUCGGGGUUUUAUAUUAUAGUAUAAAAACAAAAUAAAAACUCAUGCACAAGGGAUUGACAAUAAUUGAUUGAAAAUCUCGCGGUUUAUUGUUUUCAACGACUCACUGGCAUUUAUUUAUUUAUUUUUUUAAAUACGCAUAUAUAUACCGAUUUCAUUAGUUUUAUUUUGUUUUAUGUAUUAUAAAAUGGAAUUUAAAAAAAUAAUAAAUAUAUAUAUAUAUAUAUAUACCACUAAGUGGAUUUCGAAACUAUAUGGAAACUUUUUGAAAAGAGGGUUUCCCGCACUUGACAUGGAAUUAAAUUAAGGGUUGGGGUUAAUUUUAGAUUUGGGCCCCCUCUAGCGCACGCGUGCGGUUUAAGCUUUUAAUGGAUCUGUUUAACAUGACGCGAGGGAACAAACACUGUACGUACUAUAUAACGACGCGCAUACGGAGAUAGGUAUUUGAGCUCAGCGGUCCAUAUUGUAAAACAGUAAUAGUUUCUCCCUAUAUAAAUAUACGAAUACGUUUAAGAACACUAAAAACAGGACGUUUUAUAAAAGCUUAAAAAUCAUAGUAGUUACACAGUAAUAUACGACGGAUACGAUCAAGGCCGUAGUCGGAUCAAAUUUUUGCGACGGACUUUCAAGUGAAUCAUCCAUUAUUUUUGUUACAGACAUAAUUAGUGUCGAUCUUGAAAUACUUAAACAAUACUUUUGAACAAAAUUUCGGAAAGAGUGUGAACCCCGAAACCCCCUUUAGUUACUGCUUCGAAUAAAAUAAUAUAAUAUGUAUAUUAUUAUUAUUUUAAAUUAUUAAAUUAUUUAAAAUCUGGCACUAACUAACAAGUGAAAAAGUUAAAAGUUACUUUUCGUUGAUAACUUUUGACUUAACUGUAGUUUUUAAACAAAUCGUAAACUAUAUAAUGGUUAACUUAAUCGUUAAUAACUUAAUUAUAUUUUCAAAUAAACUAACAAAAACUAGAGAAUUGAAGUAGCAUACUCUCCAAAUAAAUUGAACUCCUCCUGUAGCAUACGUACAAUGUAAACUAGUGUGUAAAUUGCAAACUGAUUUUAGUCACAAUCCGUUUUAACAUAAACGAAUCAUUCAUAUUAUGCAUAAGUAGUAUGAUAGAACAUCCUUCCAGUAUUUUAAUUUAUUUUUGCCAAGGUUGGACUGAAAAUCAAUGAGGACCUUUUUAUAGUCAUACCAAAUAGUUUAGUGAAAACCUCAUUACGAAAUUCGCAGUAGUUUGCGAGUAGAGUGCAUACUUUGGCGAUACGGAUGAAAAAAAGAGUUAUUUUGUUUGGUUUUCUCAGCCUAGAAAGUAUUAUUUUUUUUUAAAAAGAUAAAUUACCGGACUACAACGAUUAACUGUCAUAGGGUAAAAAUUGAGUCUUAUCAAAUGAUAGUAGAAUUUGAACCGGGAACUAGAAUUUUAAAUGGUUUUAUAGGUUCCGGUUAUUAGUAAAAAUACAAAUUUCGGCAUUGUAACGUUUUAAAUGUAGGUUCCACUCUUUGGUAAUAGUGAUUUAAAUCUUUAAAUUAUCAGAUUUAUGUUGAACCUACUAACUUAACGUAAUAUAAUCUAAACACCAUAAUGUACACGUUCUAAGUAACGUAAUUUUCCGUACUCUUAACGUAUUUAAUCACGGUUAAAAAUUCUAAAAUUUUACAAUAAACUUGUCGAACAAGUUAAUUGUUCUUCUGUUACAUUAUUAUGCGGUACAUUAGUUACUAAAUUCGAUUAUAAAUACCUCAUGACACUAUAAACGAUUAAUGAUGUAGUUUUCAGACAAAUUCUUAACGUUUUACACAGCUGCAAUAAGUAUACUGCACUUUUAACCAUUGAUUAGUAUUUUCCCUUAAAUACUAAUCCACCCAACAAAAAAUAAGCAUGAAGUUUUAGUUUUCAAACCUAAACAAUAUUGGAAGGUAUAAAUAAUAUGAAUUUAAUAACUAAUAAAUAAUUUAAACUUUAUAACACCAAACUGAAUUGAUAUUCGGCAGGUGUACAUUCCAAAGUUCUAAAAUUGAAUUUUAUGAAAUUAUUUGACGAUGUAUUAUUUACCAUUAUUGCAGUCGCUGUAAAUUUAAUAAUUUAUUGAUCGGUCAGACGUUUUUCUCAGUAGAUUUUUUUUUUUCAGAUAACUUAUAAUAUAUAUUGGGAAAAUCCAGUACAAUUUUUUUUCUGAAAAUACCAUUAACGACGAUUAAUUAUGAAACUGCCGAGGUGUGGCAAAAAACUUUUAAAGUAUUUUUUGCUGACCGAAAAAAUCCCAAAGUUGUAAAACCAAUAAGACUAAUAGGUAUAUAGCCUUUUCACUCUGAUAACAAAAGUUUUAAUUUACAUUAAAGUUGAAAUACUUUAUUAUUAUAUGAAUUAAAAUUUCAAAUAAAGUGUUUUUGAACAUUUUAAGACAGCCUUAAAUAUCCAUUUUGAUGAAAAUUGAAAAAUGAAAAUCUCCUUAACAUAAUAUUAUUAACUUUCUUGAUUGUAAACCUCCUGCAGCUAAAAUUAGCCGUUCGUAUAGAUCCGUGGAAAUAUAUUUUAUUUCAUAUUGAGUUUAUUACUUAUAAACUCGCCAACAAUCAGAAAAUGAUUCUAUUAUUAUAUUGAAAAACGUUCAAAGAGAUUAAUGAUAGAACGGGUUUUUUUCCAUGUAAGCUUUUCGAUUAUAACGAAAAUUCUUUACAUUUUAACUGAAAACACCAUGUGUACACCUAUUUUAUUUCUUACAGUUUCGAAAAACGGUAAAUAAAAUAUUUUUUAUAAAAUACGAUUUACAAUAAAACGUCAGAUAUUGCGAAACUCGAAAUUUACGAGACUUAAUAAAACUUGACCCCGAUUCCCUACUACCCCGCGAUCACCACUCAGCGUUAAUGCCAAAACUCUAAUAAUAAUACGAAAACGGACGAGCGUUGCCUGCUGCUACUUUUAAACAAUUUAUAACCGAUGAGAAUUCCCGGCAACAUGCGCGCACUUGAUAAAUCCGAAUGUUCAUAACUGCAGUAAAUUGAAUUUAUAAAAUGUGACUUUCCAUAAAAGAAGACAGAUACUGUUCGAUAUUGUACAGUUAUAUAUUAUAGUCAAAUCGAUUACGUGCUUCAACGGGUCGACGUAAAGUUUGGCUGUUAAUGCAGUGUGGUGGUAAAAGAAGAAAAAAAAUACGUAUCGGUAUUUUUUACGAGAACAUUUUGUUUUUGUUUGUUCUUUUUUUUUUUUUAAACGUUUCAUCUGAAAUUCCGAAGCGAAAACACGGUUUGGCGAAAAAUGCCGAUACAAAAACGAUCGAGUUCGUGACAAACUAAUUUAUAACGUUUUUCAAUCUAAACCGGCACGCGGUACAGUUAAUAUCACUGAAUCCACACUACUGUUUCUCUGUUUUUUUUUUUUUUCAAUACAAACAUUAAUUUAUUUAAUAUAUUUGUAACUACGAGCGGUUAUCUAACGUAUGUAUACUGUUUUACGAUACGAUUUCUUAAUCGUUGUUCAAACUUUAUCGUCGGUCGUGACUUGCGUAUGCAUGCUAACAACGUAUAAUAUACACAUGACAAAUACUGCAAUAAAGUUUGUUCUGUUCGAUAUUUUAGACUCUGAGUGUAGCGAAAAAUGUAUGUGUAAUUAUUUUUUUUUUUAUAGUGUUUACAAUAAUUUUACCAGAAAUUUUGUUCCGAAAUAUCACGUAUAGCACCUUUUCAAAAAUGGAAUUUUCCCGGGGUGGUACUGUUGGAGGUCAUUUUUUAAUUUCUGCAGGAGUUUUCCCAGUAAAUGGAAAAAACAUGAUAAAAACCCGGAAAAAACGGGCAAAUAUAUACCGUAUUAAACAAAUAUUAUUAAAGAAAAUAUAUAAUGCAUAAGUAAUUAUAUUUUUACCAUAAUAUGACAUAUAAAUUGUUCACAAAGCCCUUAUUAAUCGAACUCCGCUCAGAAUGGUUGCAUACAGAUAUACAUUAAAUUUCCCGUCUACGUUCCCAAAUUUUCACCUACAAUAUUGGCCCACCCACGUGCGAAGUACUUCCGUCUUUUUUAGGUUUAUUUCUAUUCUUAUUGCAAUAAUUACUAUAGAGCAGUAUUUCCCAACCUGGAAGUGAACACGUUGCAGGGGAAACACGAGCAUUUACAUUUACAUAAACAAUGGGGGAGGGGGAAACGAAAAAUUAAUAGCGAUCUGUUACCACGUGUAGCUAAAGCUAAUAUAACAAUAAAUAAUAUAAUCGUAAUCUUAUAAUAAAUCUCGUAAAUACACCGUUUAAAAACAAAACACAAAAAUCGCUUGAAUGUCGAAUCAGACUGAGGUGCUCUCUCGCCAAUAUCGAGCCGAAUAUUAAAAAAUUAUCCAAACAAUAGUGUUGUCGCGUUAAUAUUAAUUGGUAAUUUCAUUAUUAGUUUUACAAAAUUACAAAAUAUUAUUCACCUUACAAUUAUUACAAAACAUUUCAUUAUUAUUAUUAAUUUAUAGUUAUUAUCAUAAAUAAAAAAAAAAUUAAAUAUUUCGAAUAUAGUGUAGUUUAUUUAUAAAGUACACGAAAAAAAGUCAUUAAUGUGAUCAGUUUAUGGAGAGGGGCGUGAAAUUUUUGAAAAAUCUACAAAAGGGGCGUAGAAUUAAAGAGUUUGGGAAUAACUAUAUACUAGAACCUUGCCCCGUGAUUCGUUUAUUUUAUAAAUUUGUAUUAAUAUUUUUUUUUUUUUAGUAAAAACAAUAAACUUUUAUUUUUUACAAAACCAAAGAGAUAGCCGUUUUAUAAAUAGAAUAUUUUAAAACAAAAUGCUAGAGUUACAAAUAUUUACCAAGACAUCAAUAUAUUGUCAUUUAACCGAUUUUAGGUCAAUAUAUAUACGGAGUUAUCAAUCUUUCAUAGGACAUUCAUUGUCUCCGUUAGUUUUAACUUUUUUUGGAAUUUAUUUUUCAGAACAUUUAAGAAACAAUCUGCUCCAUAAUUUUAUAAUAUAAAAUACUUAAUUUAUAUUAUUUUUCGUCACUCUUAUUUGAAGGGGUAAAACCACCAGUCAGUCCAUUCCACGAUAUAUUCCACUUUUAAGUUUGGGUUGGAGGAAAGUACUAGAGUAUCAUUUGUGCGGCGGUACGGCGCGCGGCGUGUUAAUAGUGCACCACCACUCUCCUCCAACACAAACUUAAAAGUAGAAUAUCUCGUCAAUGGACAAACGGAAAUAAAAAAUUUGAACACUAAAAUUUAUUUUGACUAAUAAUUCGUCUAUUUAUGAAAUUUUUAAUAUAGGUUGCCAUUUGAAAAUCCAAACAAGGUAGCGGUUUUACCCCUUAAAAUAAGGAUGACAAAAAAUAACUUAAGUAUAAAAUUGUAGAGCAGCUUGUUUCUUAAAUAAAACAAAUUCCGGAAAAAUUAAACACUUUCCUGAAAUAAAGAGUUUCUUACAAUAAAUUGAUCACUUCGUAUAUACAUUAUUUACUAACGAUGAAUCGUUAAGUUAUUGCAAAUUUUUGAAGCUUACGAUAAUAUCGAUUGAUAUUAUUUUAGUAGUAGCAAUGAAAACGUUUUAAAUUACCAUAAACUUCAUUUUUAGAAAAUUAACGAUUUAUCAUCAGUAAAUAUCUGUAACACCAAAUUAUCCUGUUUAAAGAUAUUUUUUAAGUAGAUAUCUAUACUUUGGAUUUUGUAAAAAAAAUUGUAUUUUUAGUUUUAUAAAACAAAAAAUAUAUACAUAAUAGAGAAAUCAUAGCCCAAGGCUCUUGUCUAGUUGAUUUAGUAAUUACCUUGGAUAAAAUAAAAACUUAAACAAAUAUUAAACAGAAUAAAAGUUAUCGCAUUCGUCAGAUCUCCGAGAAAUACCCCCAUAUAUACGGUAACUUGGAGAACACGAAACUUUCGGUAACUAUAAGUAAUUACCUACUUAUACCAAGCUUUCGGUAUAGUAAGUUAUAAAUACAAAACUAACGGUUAUUAUUGAAAUCCUCAGAUCUGGUAUAACUUUGACCAAUAAAGGUAUAAAAGCGUAUAAUAGUUUAGUGGCAAUCAUUUUGGUACAUUUAAGUUUUAAGUAGUUUUAAGGGAAACUAAUUUUAUUAAUUUUACCACUGUUAAAUAAUUUUUAUUUAAAAUAUUCGAACUACGAAUAUUGUAUACAAUUUUCGAGUAUUUUUUGAAAAGGCAGGUACUAGGUGUAUAUUAAAUAUUAAAAAAAUGUUAGCCACAAAAAUCUAAAAAAAAAAAUGAAUCAAAAAUAAAUUCUACUGUUUAAAACGGAGUCACCAUCUAUGGCCACUUAUUUUAUUCGUAAAUAGUGUAAUUUUAUAUGCCAAAUUAUAGUUAUUUAUGUCUUCGUUGAAAGCUGCAUGUAUACAUAUGACUAAAUAAAAAUACACGGUCGCUAGAUUAAAAAUUAUUGUCCCAACUUGGAACAAAAACUAUUGCAAUUAUAUACGAUACUUUAUUGUUUCUGCCAAAUGUGUAGGGGAAAAUGGAUUAGAUAAUAUUUAACUAUUAAAUUAACUCAAGUCAUUAUUUUCCUGAAAAUUCAUAACUUAACGUAGUUGCUCGUUUAUAUUUUAAAAUUUAGCUUUACUAGUUUAGGAUAACUUAGCUGAAACUAGUUUAAAUAAUCGAUUAGCUCACCCAGCUUUAGAAUUUUUAAUGCCAUACAUACAAAUCGUUUCCUCUUCAUAUGAUAACAAUGUAUAGGUAGUAAGAUUAAAGCGAUUAAUUUGUUUUCAGAAAACUUUUUCUUUUCGUUUUUGUGUGGGUAUCAUUUGACGUGUUCAAAACGAUUCAGGCGGAUUCACAUUCAACAGACGGAUAACCGAACAUAAUAAUAGUAUUAUGCAUACCUACUCGCGGGAGGGUCAGUUUACGAAUUUCACUGCAGUCCAUAAAAAUAUGAUGAACGAUGAUGGCUUCGGAUCCGUCUAAAGUUUAGUCAACGUUUACAUUUCCACGCCGGAAUCUGUUAUCGAUUUUUGCGGCCGCAAUCUAAUCAAAAAAAAAAAUAACAUCAAGGUAAGCGUAUAAGCUGUUUUUCGUAUAAUAUUAUAUUAAUUUGACGGUUUCCAAGAGAAUGGGCUAAAGUCAUAAGCUCAGCCAGUCAAAUGCUGAGUUGUAAGUCAGCUACCUUACAACCAUGCAAUUUUUUGUUUUUUUUUUUUAAUUUUAGAAUUCGACUUUUAUACAUUUCACUUACAUUUCACUUUCAACUUUCAACGGCGGUACAAAACAAAAUUAGAUACCUACUGUAAAUAAUAUCUUCAAUCAAACCAUAGCAUUGAAAAUUUAUUAAAAAAUCGCCCGUGAACAAAGGAGUUAUUCAUUGUAAAACAAACAAAAUUACCGAAUACCAUAAUUAUACAAUAUUAUACUAUACAAAAAUAUGUUAUACUAAAACUUUAAAAAAAUAAUAAUAAUAAUUAAAUUAGAUCCUAAAAAUACUAGGGGAGGGUGGUAGAACUCUGAAAUCACCAAAAGAUAUCAAAUAUUGGUACUAAAGCCGCGCAUUUACAAAUUUUCAUCCCCUUGGCUUUAUUUGGAAAGUCUGUAGAGGUGUACAAAGCCAAAAAACACCCUCCGCCCGCAAAAAUAUGCGGGUUUAGUUCAUAUUGAAGUUCAACCAAAAUGUUAUGACCUAAACAAUUCUGAUCACCGAGUAUGAGUUUAUUUGGUCCAGUCGGACCAAAAUGCAGCUAUAGAAACGUCCAAAAGUAGCGGGAAAUAUAUAUUUAAUAUGUUUAUAUUUAUACGAGUAUAUUAAAACAGACACAAUACGCAGUACGAUAUUCUCUAUUAUUAUUUUUUUUUUUUUUUUUUUUGGGGGGGGGGCAGGGGAGAAAUUUGCCUAAAAAACCAAUAUAUUCCUCGCUAUACGCUCGGAAUCUAAAAUGUAAUAAUAUUUGUUUUUAUUUGUUUAGACAAACUUAUGGCGAUCUCUAUGGCAUCGGCAAUACGGAUUUCCGUUAAUCGACUCGCAUCGACUUUGCGUGCGAAUAUCAAGUAAAAAGAAAAAUAACAAUAAUAAUAAUAAUAAUAACAACAAAUACGUUUAAACGGCUGCAUACGAAUUGCGUCCCUAAAAACGUCGCGACAACCGAGUUGCGUCCGCAAGAAUAAUCGUUAUUCUAUUUCUACAUGUUUGAUGAUAAACUCGUUAAUACUAAUUGUCUGUCGAUUAUCGAUACCUUAUUAUAGGACGGUAAAUAUCACCUAACAAUUUAUCGUUGAAAAUCAAUUUUGUUCAUUUUGUUCAUGUCAAAAGUGUUCAAACUGAUAUUUACAUUGAAAUUUAACCAACAAACGAAGAGAGGACGUAUAAAACGAAGAUUUUAUUAAAAAUACUACGCGGACGCAACUCGGAUGUGUCGUGAGAAAAUAUCAUUUAUGGACGCGAUUCAAAUGCGCCGGUUUAAACGCGUACCUUAUUAAACACUGAAACGCCGAAAUUCCUGUAUUGUUUCAGAAGGUGUUAUUCGCGGGGCACAAAGGGUAAAACGAGUAAAUUCAAGAAGAUGUAAAUCAACGGAAAGAUGGACCGAAGAAUUCGUUAAAACUUUACACUCUUGCGGUUUAUUUCUGCUUUUUAUUUUUUUUUUUCUACAAAUCAUUGUGCGCAACUAUCGCUGUACAAACGUUUUUAGACAACCGUUAGGCAAACGUCAACAAGAAUAAACCCCAAACUACGCUCCGUUUCGUCGAACGCUUAUACCCUGGUAGGCAGUCGAUAUUUUAUUUUAUAAUAUAAUCGCCCCCUCCCUCCCCCCCCCCUCGACGAUAAACCACAACAGCAAUAAUAAUAUUAUUAUAAUAUUAUAACAUUCAACCAAGAAUAACAAAAUGUUAAAACAUAUGACUAACGUUUAAGAUUAAAGUUUAAUAAUGUAAAAAAAAAAAAAAUUAAAAAAAAAAAAUAAAUUAAUAUUAUUUACUUUUAUUUUUAAUUAGAGCGCGGAUUUAUAUUCUCUUAAAAUUUUCAAUAUAUGCUUGCAAUAUUCUCUAAAAAUAUUAUUAAAAUAUGCAGAACUAUGUUUUUAUAUCAAUAUAUUCUAUUAACAUGAAAAUAUGUACUUUUAUGCGAAAUAAAUUCAAUAAAUAAUAAUUAACAAAAUCAAUAACAUUAAUAAAAUAAUAACAAACUCAUUUUUUUUUUUUUUUUUCGUAUCGUUGUUUCGGCAUUUCGUUGGAUUAAAUCUUGUAAAUUAAAGCACGACAGUCAUAAAAUAUGAAAAUAAUAAUUUUUUAAUUUGAUCAGACUUCGAAUAUAAAAACGAAAUAGUUAAUCGUUAUCGCUAGAGGAAAAUAUGUGAUAAUUUACGCGCGGUAACAAAUUAUUAUCAAUUAUUCGGGCCGUAGGUAGUCCGUUGUCCGUAAAAUUGAUAACUAGACAAUAAAAAUUCGACUGACAGGACGUGUCUCAACGUCAUGUACCGCAUUCGUAUUACGGUGUAAACAGUGAAAUAACAAUAAAUCUCGCAUUUCGUUAUCAUUUGCCGACCAUCAGAUCGUAAUAGCAUUGACGACUGUCGUCAGGACGCAUGCUCCCCCCCCCCCAUCGAUGAAAUGUUUCGAAACGGAACAAAUCGACCGUGGCUGGUAAAAAAUGUACAUAUACAUUUUUUAAUUCCCGGAAGUAUUUCGAUUCGCCGCCGAUUGUUUUAAUCAGUCGAAUACGCGCGGAAAACGAAAACGAAAACGAAAACGAAAAAAAAAAAAAAAAAAAUGAUUUUAUAUGAACGGGUAAUUCUCUUAUUGACAACGCCGAAAUAAUGCGCGCUCGUUCGUGCACGGUGGGAUCGUCGACGGGUCGUACGCGCGUCGGUUAAACACGCGCGUUCAACUUGCGUACAGCAAUCCGCGCUCUACUUAACACAUAGCUCUUAAGAAUUAUUAACACUGUAGCGAGACUCGAAAAAGACUGAUUUUGCGUUACCCGCGCACGUUUGUCGCGACGUCGUUUCGCUGUACGUCCGCGCCGUUAAUAAUAAUCGUUAAGGUGCACUCCGAGACGUUAUGGCGAUAGUCGAACACCACGCGGCUAUUGACAUAACCGACAAUGAAAUCACCGUGUCUUCCAUUAUUAAUUUAUAUCACGUGAUUAAUACGUUUGCGCGACGAAAAUCGCAAACGGCACGUUGUGUUAUCGGUUAGGUUUACGAUAAUAUGUAAUAAUUAUGUUUAAAUUCGUUUUACAACCCGUUUGUUGUGACGGAGACAAAAUCGGUAAAUCCGUACGAAUGAACAAUCCAGUUUAUUAUGUGUAUACGGAAAACAUAUUGUACGGAUUAUUCUCUGUUUUUUUCUCUCUCUCUCUCUCUCUCUCUCUUAUUUGCGUUGCGUUUUUAGCCGACAAACACUCAAAAACAAACUGUAGGUACGUUUUUACUAUUUUUUCUCAAAAUAUUAAUGUUCAGAAAAAAAAAAAAAAGUCACGCGAGUUGAAACGAAUGGAAAAAAAAAAAACAAUGAAAACGAGAUGGUAUACCACCCGACGCACCGGGAACGUAAUCGCCGAACUCGAAUUCGGCGACCGCCCGCUAAAAUUCGUUUCCGAGAUAACUGCAAUAACAAUUAUAAUAAUUAGACACACGGAUAGUUUUUUUUUUUUUUUUUUUCAAUGUUUUCCGUAAAGCAAAUAAUAACGGCGGCGCUUACCUGCGCAAUAUUUUUAAACUACCCGUCUAACGUAAUGUUACCGUUAAUAUCACGUAAAACAAAUGAUUAAUAUUUAAACGUGUUACAAUUCGUUUUUUUUUUUUUUUUUAUACUCAUCGCGUUAAUUUUUUACGUUCGGUUUUUAUUAUAAUACUGGCCCCGUGAACCGGGUGUGACGUUUGACAAUAAAAAAUAUACAUUAGCCGUUUCAUCGGGUAUUUUUUUUUUUUUUUUCUAACCAUUAACGUUUAGGUACAGUUUUUUUUGUUUUGUUUUGUUUUGUUUUUUUUUUUUUUUAGUUAACUAAGUAUUAUUAUAAUAAUAAUAAAAAUAAUAUAAUUCGUACCUUUAAUAAUAAUAAUAAUAAUAUGUUAAGAAAUAAAAUUUAAAAUUUAAAAUUUAAGUAAAAUAUUCGGACGGCGUUUAGAGGACGCGUGGUACGGAUUGGCGCAUCCAAAGGCGAAGGGAUGGAAUAGGAUAAUUAAUAGCUCCUCCUUGGCCGCGGUUUAAUAAAAAAAAAAAAAAGAAAAAAAAAAGCAAGCACCGCCCCAUUGUAAGACAAUAAGACAUAAGUGUGAAUUUCGCGUUGCACAAAUUUCAAUUACCGCCCACCCCACCCUGUUCUCCGGAAUCCGCCCCUGACCCGCAUUCGCCGUCUCGGUAACCGACGGGCGACACGGCGAAAAUCUUACGCGACCGAGAAUAAACAUUGCGCUGCUCGUGGAUUGAAAUCGGAGUUUAAACGCGGGCACCGUACGCGUUGGUUUUUUUUUUCUGUCCGUAAAAACGGACGCCGGACAAAAUAGUUGACAGCCGUGUGUUUUUCUCAUCAAAUUCCGUCGUGCGCGCGCAAUUCCGAUCCGAAACCGUAACAUUGCAAUACGAACGCCGCGGUUUUAAUUCCGAGUCGCCGGAUUCGGCCCCGGGUUACCGUUGCCCGUCAUUUGGGCCCGCGGUCGAAACACACGAGGUUAUUGCACGCGGGCUCCGGAUCGUUAUCGUCGCGAAACGGGAUAAUCGCGGGUAUCGAUUUGCUCGCCGCGGAAAAUGCGCUGGCCCCCAUUACGCCGCCAUCGUUUCCGUUUCCGCCGCCGUCGGACAUUCGAUUGAGAACCGGGUGGGGGGGGCGAAUGAACGUACGCAAACACCUGGCGCAACGUUCCAACGCCGUGGUCGGACCGACGAAUGCGCGCGCGAACGUUCCGCAGACAGUCGUCUUUGAACUGCACGCGACUCGACGUCGUCCGGUUCGUUCGGCGGCGUCGAAAGACCGGUGCGGAAUUUUCACGGCGUUUCGCACCGUGUUGCCGUCAUUACGACGUUUCCGAAACCCUCUCGCGUACCGUCGCGAAUUUCCUCUUUUUUUUUCUUUUUCACCGAUCGACAUCGGCAAAAACGUUACCCGAUUUAAAAUAAUUGUAUACACGCAUGUGCACGCGCGCAACACGCCCAAUCGACAACGUCCCGCGCUUUCGUAGUCGUUAUAAAACGUUCGUUUUUACCGCUUGCGUGGCGUCCGCCGUAAUCGGUGUUGCGCGACAAUGGAAUUUCGCUGUUCCGUGGGGGGAACGCUGCCCGUGUCCGGACGUUCCGAGCGAAUUCGCGCGUCCCGUCCACCGGAGUACAGCGGAAUCGAUUUGCACGCGAACCUGCGCUCGCGUAAAUGUCGGCGUGUUGGUUUUUUCCCGCGGCCGCGCCGGACGCAUGAUAUCGGUCGAAUAACAUCGAACGACAACCGCCCCGCGGAAACGUUUCCGUUUACGAAACGCCCGUGCCGUCUGACAACCGAUUCACAAGGGGCGAGAAAAAUGCAUCGCGGUCGUCGUCGGGUGUUGUCCCCCCCGCGAGUACCGAUCAUCGCGUCAAGGGGUUAACGUGCGCGACCCGCGCAGUACGUCGAGUGCGCGUGUGCGUGUUAGACAACCGCCUUACGGUUUUUCGGGGACCGCGCCAUCGGUUCCCGUCACCGAACGUCGCGCCGUACCCUAGCGCCGUUACUAGCGACCGUUAUUAUAGUGGCGAUACUAUCGCCGGAUGUUCGGGAAAAAAAAAAAAAUCACCAACAUUUUUAAUUGAACCAGUGUUCGGUUUAACGGCGCGUGAAAUUGCGACGACAGCGGCGUCAGACGCGAGAAAAUAUCGCGUUUGAUGUGAUGGUAUGGAUGAUGAUUUUAGGGUUCGGUAAUUGUCCGCGUUCAGAGUGGACGCGUGUCUUGAGAUAAAAAAAAAAAAAAUAAUAAAAAAAAAAAAAAAAAACUUAAAUCUAGUAAUAACACAAUAAAUCGGUUUUUUCUGUUAUUAUUUUUUUUUUUUUCGUUUAUCGCACUCGCACUCGUUCCGUUACGAACACCGGCUACGGUAAACACACUGACGCAAUCCGAUAUCGGUUCGUGUACCGGAUUCGGCAACGUGUUUUUACGAACAAAUACUUCGUUGUUUAUGUUAUUAAAUUAUUAAAAUGUUUGAAAUCUCGCUUGUUUAACCGUUGCGCUACGACAAUGUGAGAUGCCGUAUAACAUUGCAAUCGUUUUAUUAUAUUCUAAUUAUUAUACGCCUGUCGAUUUUUUUUUUUUUUUUUUUUUGUCUGUUUUGUCUGCUAGGCCGUUAUACCGCGCACACUGUAAUACAAUAUUAUAUUGUAAACUUAGAUUUUCGAUCGCAUGUUUACCGCUGUACAACGCGCAUUACGUUUUACGUUUUGCGCGUAAAUUUACAAAAAAAAAAAAAAAUAUUGUAAUUAUAAUAUCACGCUUAGAAGCGAAACUAUUUCAAUGUACGUAAAUUCUAAUUAAAAACCGAUGAUCUGUUAAAA
rnacentral:lncRNA from 1 species